rnacentral:lncRNA from 1 species
AUCUACUCCGGUGGCCUAUGCGUCCAAUCCUCUACAACCUGGUUUCCUGCAAAAAGGACAACGAGAGUUGGGUGAGUAACGUAAGGUCACUCAGUGAGCUGGCUACCUCUACCCAAAACCUAGUAGCUAGCCCCGACAACCCCAAAAUAACAAUCAACUUAGCCUAAGCGCAAUAAACAAAGCUUAAGGCUAAUCCAAAAACACACCGACUAAGGUAUGCUCAACCUUAAUCUAAUAAUAA